GUUGUUUACCUGCUCAUAGGUCUGCCUCCAGAUUUGGAUAGUUCGAUGAAGGGCCACAUCAAACGUCAUGAGUAUUUGUCGGGUUAACGGGUCGGAUACGCCCACGGACUAUGGUUUUUUGGGAAACCCUACACGAGCUGAACUCUUCCCCUUGUUUGGGGUUUCUUCUUCCCUUUGGGGUGUCUUGCGUGGUGGCUAACAGGUGUGUUGUCCGACACUGAUUAGACACAGAUAUGAGAGUGAUUUAUGGCGAACAGUGUCUUCUCCUGAGGCGAUUACACACAGAUCUGAGAGUGAAUUAACCAAAGAUUGAUCCUUUAUUUCAAAUUACAAGAGGUUGGUCUCUGGCCGUGGAACGAGAUCCCCGCCCAUGGGUGGUGGCUUCCCGCCGGAGGUGGAUGAGGAGGUUACAUGGCACAAGACUACUGUCGUUGCCAAUGAGAUCAAGGAAGAAAGAGGGUGAGCUGACUACGUGCGGACGGUCUUGUCAUCGCCACCUUACUUGCAAGCAGGGAUUUGCGAUGCUGCAAUUUAUCGUAAUAAAAGCUCCAGCCUCAAUCGCAAAGCCUCUUCGAGGCAUACUCCGAGGCUUAUAAGGAGGGACUUGUGGGGUGUAAACUCUCUUCUUUUGAUGACUUCCUUGGAGAGCUAGUUGGGUGAGGAAGCAGCUAAUGGCCGACAAGAGGAGAACGUAAGAGCAGCAAAUGGACAUUAUGAGUGCAAUAUUAUAUCACAGAUAACGUAGUAGUGCUUUUCCCACCAUGGCACUCUGUGACGAGACCAAUGAAAAAUAUAUUUGGCCUCAUGACUCAUGAUCCAUGUGUCCCACCUAAUUCUCCCUAUAUCUGCUCAUGCUGCUUUGCCCUGACUUAAGUUAUCUUUGACCUCCAGGAAGAUGCAACAGGGGAGGCAGUGCUCACUUCUGUGUCUCUGUCAAAGCAACGAUGGUUCUUUCUGGCAUGGGAGGGCGAUGGCAAAUCAUGAGGGCUCAGCGCAAAGCUGGCUGCAUAAAGAUUCUUCCAUGUAAUGAUGCACCGUGUGGUGUUCUUGAUGAUGAUGGAUCUGGAUCUUAUAGAUUCAGGAUUGCUUGUCAACAGAAAAAGAAAGGUUCAGACUUGUUAAAAUGAUGCUUCCAUUGAUUAUAGUUCAUGUUUUUGCUCCAACUCAGUUUUCUUCAUUCUUUUCUUUACUGUGAACAUACCAACUUGGUAGAAAGUGGCACAUGUUCCCCAAUUGUUUGAUCUUUCUAUCCUGCUCAAACUUUUAGUAGGCGAUUAGUGGAUCUAUGUUUGAUUUGAUGAUCAAGUUAUGAUAACCA